rnacentral:rRNA from 1 species
AGCAGCCGCGGUAAUUCCAGCUCCAAUAGCGUAUAUUAAAGUUGUUGCAGUUAAAAAGCUCGUAGUUGAAUUUCGGGGUCAGUACGCUGGUCGUGCCUUUGGUAUGUACUGGUGUCACUGAUUCCUCCCUUCUGAAGAACCGUUAUGCCAUUUAUUUGGUGUGGCGGGGAAUCAGGACUGUUACUUUGAAAAAUUAGAGUGUUUAAAGCAGGCUCGCGCUUGAAUACAUUAGCAUGGAAUAAUGAAAUAGGACGUUUGAUCUUAUUUUGUUGGUUUCUAGGAUCGACGUAAUGAUUAAUAGGGAUAGUUGGGGGCAUUAGUAUUCAAUUGUCAGAGGUGAAAUUCUUGGAUUUAUUGAAGACUAACUACUGCGAAAGCAUUUGCCAAGGAUGUUUUCAUUAAUCAAGAACGAAAGUUAGGGGAUCGAAGACGAUCAGAUACCGUCGUAGUCUUAACCAUAAACUAUGCCGACUAGGGAUCGGAUGAUGUUAAUUUUUAAUGUACUCAUUCGGCGCCUUAA